AUGACUACCUGCUUCUCCGACAUUAUUAAAGAUCAUUCCCUCGAUUUUAUAGGAUUGCAGGAAACCAGGAAGAAAGAGAUUCUUCCUAAGUUCUUACGAAAAAUUGACCCCUCAGAUAGAUUUGCUUGGAACUGGGUGCCUUCCAUUGGCAAAUCCGGUGGCAUCCUUUGUGGCAUCAAAAAAGAAAGUCUGGAAGUUGUUUCCUGGACAGUGGGCAAAUUCUGCUUGCAAGCUACCCUUUUUGAUAUAAACCUCAAAUGUGUGUGGGCCCUUAUAACUAUCUAUGGAGCGGCACAGGAUGACAAGAAAGAGGAAUUCCUUUGUGAGCUUGCAUCCAUGUGUUCUCACCUCCAAGUUCCUUACAUUGUGGGAGGGGAUUUCAACAUUCUUCGUGAAAGUUGUGAGAAAAAUAAGACUUUAAACCGAUCCCCUUACAUGGAUAAAUUUAAUUCCAUCAUUCAAUCUCUGAACCUUCAUGAGAUACAUAUGGGAGGGGGCAAAUACACCUAGUCCAACCACCAGAGACAUCCUACUUUAGAAAAGCUUGAUAGAGUUCUUAUAAGUUUUGAGUGGGAGGACCUUUUUCCCCUGGUCACAGUCCGGAAAUUGGUACGGGACGUGUCUGACCACAACCCUCUGCUACUGUCAUCGAAUUCAACUAUAGAGAGACCCACGCGACAACGUGAGUUCAGAUUUGAACUCAGUUGGCUUAAGAACGAAGAGUUUUAUCCCACUGUUAAGAAGAUAUGGGAGCAGCCAAUUGCUUUUGAUGACCCCAUUGACAUCCUUAAUAUCAAGCUCAAAAGGCUAAAAAAAUAUUUCAAAGGUUGGGGCUCCCAUUUGUUUGGCCAUGCUAAGAAAAGGAAAAAAGAUAUUCAAAAGGAGUUGGAAGAGAUUGAAACCAUAGAAGAAGAGGGCCCCCUUGAACCGGAGACUUAUGAAAAAAGAACAACCUUGCGAAUGGAACUCGAUGACAUCCUAGCUAAUGAGGAACUCUUCUCGCUCCAGCAAUCCUAUGAGAGGUGGUUGUUGAAGGGAGAGCAGAAUAAAGCCUUUUUCAAUCGCGCAGCCAAUGGCAAAAAAAAAACACAAUCCACUCCUUCGCGGAUGGAGAGACGGUGA
rnacentral:rRNA from 1 species